UAUAUAGUGUUAUCCAAAUCGAACCGUCAUUUAUUGCCGGUCCGCAUGUGAAUCGUGCAUUUACCGGUGAUUGCAUAACAUUUGUUUGAUUGGAUAACUCAUACAAAUAAACCAAGUCCAAGUAUUCAAUGUCAAAUUCAAAACCAGCGACACAACCGUCGCAUUAGUAUUGCGUCAACUGUGAAAGGACGAACAGUGUUUUCAUACCAUUUCCAUAAAAAAAUUGUCACAACCAGCAGUGUUGCAUUUUAAACGAACAUGUUUAGUGGUUGUAUCGGAUGGAGAAGGUGGAGAAUAAUUGGCCUGAUAAUUGGAUGGCUUGUGUUUGCCCUGAAUUUUAUUGCAAUCAUUUUAUUUCUUCGAUUCACGGACCAUGUUGACACAGCUCACGAACUAUUUUAUACAACUUUAUUAUGUUUGAUAAUAUUUUCCGUCAAUCUAUCGUGGCUGUAUGGAAUCACGUUUUACAAACGAAACUUCAUGCUAUUUGCUCUAACAUGCUAUGCGAUUAAGGGUGUUGUGUGCAUUUCGCUGUUAUUUUACUACAAAAUUAAGACAUUAUAUUUGAUAUUGGUGUCGGUGGUCGUUAUAAGCCUAUUCAUCUGUGCGGUUUUUAGCUAUAAUUUUGUGAAGAGAUCUUUUUCAUACAGUACGUCUGGAAAUCUGGGGAAUGAUCGCCUCUCGAAUGUAUACGAUAUAUCAAACAGUAAUAUUGAAAAUAUUAUGAUCAAAACAAUUGCUUGAUAUUUCUCUUUCUUGAAAUAAAGAUCAAAGAGUGCUGAAAUAAUCAGCUUUAUUACUUUUCCGCACACCUAGUGUGGAGAAGGUCUUUUCUCAUUGUUUUGAAGUAACGGACAGAGCUGAGCACGAACCUCAACGACCGACUGUUCGUACCCAGCUCUGAUUUAAGUGAAAUGGUGCAUUUUUGGCACAUCUUGUAAUAGAAAUUCUUUUAUUUUACAUUAUUUAUAUAAAUCUGUGUGAUUUAUUAGAAUUUUUUUAGCAAUAAACAGUACUGACCUUUGAACAUAUCACA